rnacentral:rRNA from 2 species
CUGGCUCAGAACGAACGCUGGUGGCGUGUCUUAUACAUGCAAGUCGAGCGAGGCAGCAAUGCCGAGCGGCGAACGGGUGAGUAACGCGUAAGCAAUCUGCCCCAUAUCAGGAAAUACCCGUGCCAACGCGCGGUUAAUGUCCAGGAGAGUGGCCUUCCGCAUGGAGG